rnacentral:lncRNA from 1 species
ACUUUGACCGGAGUCCAUUAACAAAUUUGGGAGAAAAAUUGAGAUUUUGAUUUCUCAAAAUCAAAAAUAAAACAGAUUUAGGAGAAUGAAAAUAAUGUCCAUCUUGGAGAAUGAAAGAUUGAAUUCUACAAUAUUCAUGUAAGUUUUUCACAAAAUAUCUCUCAAAAUUUACAAUAUUUUUAUAGCUCUAUUUUUUAUUAACCGAAUCCCCGCACCCGUAUCUAUAUCCGGAUUCGCACCUCCGAAUCUUAAAAUUUAAAUUUUGCCGAAUCCGAUACUCGGAUCCGUCCCUGUAUCGGAUACCCGCACCCGAGUCCGAGCAGCUUAGGUCAUAGCUGAGCAGAAGAAAUCAUACCAUUUUCAUCUUUGACCAAUGGUGAACAGGAUGAUUCUCUUGGCUAUGCAUCAUAUUUUGUCCUUGUUCCUGCCAUUCAAUGUUCCCCUUCUAAUUUAUAGGCUUUCAGUUGUACCUUCUUAUCCUCUGGGAUUUCAAUGUAAUUGAAGAUUCUAUCAACUCUAUCAAUCUAAUCAAGAAACUCCUUAGUAUGUAGAUGCCCCUUAAAAGAAGGAAGAUCAAUCUUUAGCCGAAACUCUCCUCGGCAACUUUAUUCUUGCCAUUGACUUUCAAUAUCAAAUGGAUUACCAUGAUUAUUAUGUUAUCUUGUGCAGAAAUCUCCUUACUCCAUAGCCAGCAGUACAAGUGUAAUUCUUUCAUAAACUAAGAACUAUUAUUUUGCAAUGGCCUUCUGAUAAUGGAUGUUUGUUGCUCAUUUUAAAUGUACUUACACUCCCGCCAAUAACUUAUCUUCCUUCCUUGCAGAUUCCUGCAGAAGAAUCAAAGUGCAUUUUUCCUGUCCAUGUACCAUUCUGCGGAAGGUUUUGAUGUGGCUGACAAGAAACAGGAUAACUGAGUUGGAACUUUUCUUCUCUAGUGUACAUUCUAUAUCACACCUACUAUGUAUAUUCUCUGUUCUCCAAUGCAGAACUAUGUUGUAUUACCAGGGAUGUUACUAGUAAAUUUUGCUGCAUAGUAGCUCGCACAUGUUUUCCUACUUAUUGCCUGUGCAGUGGCUAUUCCAGUGUUCUGGUUGUCCAGCUAAAUCUUUUCUCUUGAAAACAGGUACUUAUGUACCCUACUAACUUGUGUUACAUAUGGGAAAGAAAUUUGCUCUGCAAUAACUAAUAGGAGGUGUCGACAAUGUAAGGUGCAUUGAGUUGUCUUUACAUAAGACGGUAUUUCCUAUUUCAUGGCAUGACAUCUUACGCUCAUCCCUUUAUUCCGUAAAUUAUGUAUUAAGCUUAUAUUAAAUAAUCUAUCUACUUUUACCAUAUCAAAUAGUCUCGAAGUGUAAUUACUUGUAAAAGGUAAAUGCUGCACGAUAGAUUUUUUCUACAAGAUGAUUUUUUUUCCUUUUUGGUGAUGUGGACUGCUAGAUUGGAAAGUAGGUUGAUAAUGAUGCCCAUGAAGUUGUCAUAAAGAUGGCACGAUUGGACACAACGAAACCUAUUUUGCAGAAUGGGCU